CAUCUAACCCUGGCCUUUGACA
rnacentral:piRNA from 1 species